rnacentral:tRNA from 1 species
GGGUCGUUAGCUCAGUCGGUAGAGCAGCGGACUUUUAAUCCGUUGGUCCAGGGUUCGAGCCCCUGACGACCUACCC